ensembl:lncRNA
UGUUUAAAAUAUUGUGGAGCACUCAGUGACGUGAAUCACAACUACUACACACAUUUUACUUAAUGUUUGGAAUGUCCUGAACAUAUUGAGAGAUGUGUGUAAAGAAGGGAGAGAGAGAUGGUGAGAGAGGAGAGAGUGAUGGGGAGAGAGGAGAGAGGUGUGGAAAGAAGGGAGAGAGUGAUGGGGAGAGAGGAGAGAGGUGUGUAAAGAAGGGAGAGAGUGAUGAGGAGAGAGGAGAGAGGUGUGUAAAGAAGGGAGAGAGGAGAGUGGAGAGGGGUGUGGAGUUGAUCACAGACUGCAGGGGGCAAAAAAUGAAAUUCAGUUAGAUGGGAAACUGUAUGGCGGAGGGGACCCUAAUGUACUUAACGUUGCACCUUUCAAGAACACUGAACAUAAAAAGUUUAAAGGGAAAAAAAACAGUUACUCAAUUGCAAUAGGACUAGCACUGGCAAUUUAUUCUCUCUCAAAGGGUAAAAUAAAAUAAAGUUUUACAUCCAAUUUUUGGACUGAGGUUGCUAAAGCUAUUAAUUGGCCCUAUGAAAGACCAAAAGGUCAAAGUCGUAGUGAGAAGAUACUUUGUACAAUUUGGAGAUGUAAUAGGGGU